UAAUGCCUAGGAAUCUGCCUGGUAGUGGGGGACAACGUUUCGAAAGGAACGCUAAUACCGCAUACGUCCUACGGGAGAAAGCAGGGGACCUUCGGGCCUUGCGCUAUCAGAUGAGCCUAGGUCGGAUUAGCUUGUUGGUGAGGUAAUGGCUCACCAAGGCGACGAUCCGUAACUGGUCUGAGAGGAUGAUCAGUCACACUGGAACUGAGACACGGUCCAGACUCCUACGGGAGGCAGCAGUGGGGAAUAUUGGACAAUGGGCGAAAGCCUGAUCCAGCCAUGCCGCGUGUGUGAAGAAGGUCUUCGGAUUGUAAAGCACUUUAAGUUGGGAGGAAGGGUUGUAGAUUAAUACUCUGCAAUUUUGACGUUACCGACAGAAUAAGCACCGGCUAACUCUGUGCCAGCAGCCGCGGU
rnacentral:rRNA from 1 species